CUUUCUCCAUCCGCCGCCAGCACCCUCACCUCUCCUCGGCCCCGUCCUCCGUGUCCACCUCCCCACCUCCACCUCUCCGCCCGAGAUCCAUGGCUACAAUGGUUGCACCCCUCUGCUGCUCACGACCUGGGCCAAGGAUCUGCGACACAGACCUCCCUCCUCCUUCUCCCAGGCGGCGCAGCUGCCUCGCCAUCUGAAGAUUUGGAGCAGCAAGCGCCAGAUGAGGAGAGGACGACGACCGUGACCUGCGGAAGGUCCGAGCUCGACCUCUCCGGCGACGUCAACGCCCCGCACAAGGUCCCUCCCUGCUUCCCCCCACCGUCUCCUCUCUCCUUCAUUACUCCAUUUUCUAUCCCAUCCCCAGUCAAAGUUCUUGCAUCGAUUCAGAUCAGCACGACCUCUCCGCCUCUUCAGUUCAAUGGAAGGUGACCACUGGGACCCCACGGUCUAGCCCGACUAGCUGACGAGCUCGAUGGCCAGGUCCUCCGCCCCAACCACCAUGAUUCCGCAGAGAACAAUAAGCCUGAACAGACUAGCAUCGGUUUUUGUGGAGACAAAAUGAGAAGUUUCUUUGCAACUCUGGCAUAUUCAUUGAGAUAUUGGCUAUACGAUAGAGGUUUCCUUGCAACGGCGAUCCAUGGUGAUAAAACACAGGAGGUAAGAUUGGGCAGUGUGCUACUUGGUGUUGCUCAUCAUAAUCAAACAUCAGGAGGGCCGACAGCAAGAACCUAAAUAACAGCCUCGAUAAUUUGUAUGAUCUGUUGAUGUAAAAUGAAGUGUACUUAUGAUGUGUGAUAUAUUUUGUCAAUAAAAAUUGCAAGUUAUCAUUU